rnacentral:rRNA from 1 species
GGACCAAGGAGUCUAGCAUGUGCGCGAGUCAUUGGGAUUUUUUCUAAACCUAAAGGCGCAAUGAAAGUGAAGGUCCGCCUUGCGCGGACCGAGGGAGGAUGGACCGUUCCGAGGGACGGCCUCGCACUCCCGGGGCGUCUCGCUCUCAUCGCGAGAAGAGGCGCACCCAGAGCGUACACGCUGGGACCCGAAAGAUGGUGAACUAUGCCUGGUCAGGACGAAGUCAGGGGAAACCCUGAUGGAGGUCCGUAGCGAUUCUGACGUGCAAAUCGAUCGUCGGAACUGGGUAUAGGGGCGAAAGACUAAUCGAACCAUCUAGUAGCUGGUUCCCUCCGAAGUUUCCCUCAGGAUAGCUGGCGCUCGCUUCUCGCGAGUCUCAUUCGGUAAAGCGAAUGAUUAGAGGCAUUGGGGUCGAAACGGCCUCAACCUAUUCUCAAACUUUAAAUGGGUGAGAUCUCCGGCUUGCUUGAACUGUGAAGCCGCGAGAUAUCGGAUCAGAGUGCCAAGUGGGCCACUUUUGGUAAGCAGAACUGGCGCUGUGGGAUGAACCAAACGCAGAGUUAAAGCGCCUAAAUCGACGCUUAUGGGAUACCAUGAAAGGCGUUGGUAACUUAAGACAGCAGGACGGUGGCCAUGGAAGUCGGA